GGGCAUGCUGGGAGUUGUAGUUUUGCAACAGCUGAAGGCACCCUGGUUGGGAAACAGUGCUCUAAGGGUAAUGUGCACGAUGCUUCAUCAAUAAAGUUGUGAAUGCAAAACACACUGAAGAGACUGCAGCCGGCGCGCACCUCCUUGUACAGCUCACGGUGACAUCAUCACAAGCAUGUGUGACAUCACAGGGUUCUAAACCAUCUUCAGAUCCGUGUAUCCUGUGGACUACUUCAGAUUCGGAGGACUACUUCGAUGACCAGCGUUUUUUUAUGUUUAAUAUUAAUAAAAUGGUUAACGAGGGCUUGUGGAGGAGUGUUUUCGGGAAUAAAAGUUUUUUAAACG